CAUAUUUUGUUCUUUUCAAUUUGUAGCUUCGCGCAGAACAGACGUGUGUUGAAGAACGUGAGGUUCGACUUUUGUAUAAAUAAAAUAAAUUCAAUUUUGAGAAUAACGCAAUUGUGCAACAUCGUACCGCAUCACGUACGGAAUGCCGGCACCAGAGAUGUGGUUUGCUGCAUCGUGACUCACAUAACUAGACCGUGUUCGGUUCAGUCGGUUAAUACAAAUGGUAUGGAGAGACGCCAGUCGCGAUGUUAAGCAUGAAUUCAUUAAGGACAAUCGUUGGUGAUGGGGUCUAGUGUGCUGAUCUUAUAAAUGCUGUUCCAUUUCGUUGCAGAAUAAACAGAUGUUGGCUCAAUUUGCGAUAGCUUGCCGUUGAAUGGACCCCGUAGAGAAAUUAACAGCUGUCACACUCAGAUUUCAGAUUGCCUUUUAUCUCCUGGAGUCUGGAUUGAGGCGAACUUGGUAUGCCAUCCUAUCUGGUCCAAACAUGAUAGAAUCGUCGCUGAACAGAUGUUUCAUUCUCGUUGGAACGGGUCGUCUUCGUCAAGAUCGAUGAUUUUAAUCGAUGACUGACGAGAUGUUGUUUUCAUUACGACCAGCAGAAAUAUUAUGAGCGAGAUUGACGAUAGAAUUGCGGCAGUGAAACAAGAGAUGUCCGUUACAUGGGUCAAAUGAUAUUGCAGUGUGACACGUACGCACAGGAAACGAAUAGAACCGUGCAGGCAAUUCUAUGUUCUGGCAUUCAGCGCUGCGAUCGAUGGACGUGAAUCCUACGAGAAGCUAUCGGAAUCGUUGGAGGUCAGCAAGAAGCUAGGCUUGUUUGGGCUCCAACGUCCACGACCAAAAAAAGAGAGUUGUUCGAAAAAAUCGAAUUG